CGGGGCAGGCGGGCUGGGUAGUCCCCAUGUAGGCGCCGUGUCUUCCUCUUACCUCAAAAGGUCUGAGGUUCCCACUGUCCCCCACCGGUUUCAUAUUUUGUCCCACUUUUCUCCCUCAUGCCACAACACAGCACACCCUUGCUGGAAACCCUUCAGGGGCUCCCAGCCCAGAAGCUACAGCCCAAACUCCUAGGCGUGGAGCCUGUGGCUCCUCGCCUUACCCCUCCUCCCCUUGCAUUUUGCAAGUUAGUCUACGGUAAUAUCUAACUACUUGUAUUUCUCCCUUUUUGCUGUUUACCGUUCCUCCCUGCCUUUACUCAAACUGCCCCCUCUGCCUGGGAUGCCCUUCCUACCCCAUUCUGGUAGAACUAACUGGUACCUAUCCUUGUGAGGGCUUGCUGGUUGUCGGGGCGGGGGGGGGGAUCCCUACCUCCCGCAGUUUUCCAUCCCUCCGCCUCCACCUCCACCUCACAGUCUGUUAUACACUAAACACAAUAUACAUCUGUUCAUUUAUUGCGACUGCGAUUUGAUCUUACUCAUCUUUGCAUUCCUGGUGUCUAGCAAUGAAACAGCAAGCCCCCACAAGGCCCUCCCUCCAGAGCCUCUGGGGACUUAAACCUGGCCCAGCCUGAUGUCACGCUGACCUGAUCUGCGCAAGAUGAACAAAGGUCAGAGAGAGACACCAGACCUCAGCAGAGACGAAAGCAGCAGCAGUUCCCUAACCCACUGCGCUCCCAGAAGCAAGCAUGUCAUCAGAGUCCAGGCUUCCUGCUGAAGCAACCUGUGAGCCAGCCCUGCGUCCUUCUGCAUCAGAACCUCUAACCACCAGUACCAAUCCUGUCUUCAGGUUGUAACAAGUGAUCUUGCUAAAGGAAAUGCAAUCUCAUCCUACCAAGACUGGUUGGGGGCCACUUUUGCCCCCACCUCCAGUAUGCUGUAUUUAUUGGAUGCUCUUUGUUGACACUGUGUCUGCCUUGUUGACUACUAUAUCACCAUUGCCAGGUCAUUAUGGUGCUCUCUGGGCUUCACCUUCCUUAUCAACAAGGGGACUGGAAUAGGGUUGCUCACCUCGCUGGGGUCAAGGGCCCUCCAAGAAGCCCUGUUCUUACUACUGCCUCAUCUCAUCAACACCUGGCCAACCCUGAUUUAAACCUGAGGCGUGUGACAGCAGCUCCUCUCCUGGCCCAGUGUCUGCUCUCUUCCUUCUAGCCUGGGCCCCACCAGCCCCCAGUCCCACUGGUUGACCCAGUAGGGAUUUGAUUUUUCCUGAACUUCAAACCCUGCAGCAGAACAAACUGUUAAAUGCUGACCUCUGACUCAAAUCCAAAUUGACUAAAAAACAAACCUGAAUUAAGAAUCAAACCAGUUUUGUUUUAAAUACCUUGUGAACCAUUUAGAACCCAAAUGCUAUCUUUUAUCAUUUAUGUUUAAGAAUUAUGUAACAACACGGCAAAUGAUAAGUUUAGAGAAAGAAACAAGAUUAUAAGUGGUAUACACAGCAUAACUAUUUUUUUUAAUGAGGAAAAAAAAAAAGCCCCCCUAGAAGAACCCUACCUUCCCAAACAAAAAUUCUGCAUACCUAAUAAAAGACAAAAGACUGGAAGCAAAAAGCCCAAAAGUUAAAAGACUGUUUUUCAGACUGUGUGAUUUUUUUUUUGGUCUACAUUUCUGGAAUUCCAAAAAAUUUCCUUAAUAAAAAUUCCUUAUUUUAAAUCCUUUGAUACUUCAAUGUAUAUUUCCUAAGGAGAAGAGUAUUUUCUUACAUAACAACAUGCAGUUAUCAAAUAUGGGAAAUUCUGCAUGGAUACAAUACUUAUCUAUAGUCCAUGUUUCAAUUUCAAUUUCAAUUGCGUUAGUUGUCCUAGUGACAAAUAUUUUUAAGAUACCCUAGUAUCUGAGAAUUUCCCUUAUGUGUGUACUUUCUACUGUAAUGAUGCUGGAUAAAUUCAGAGCCCCUCUACAGAGAGCCCAAAGGAGCUCCAUUUGACCAUCCCCAGCUGUGGCUGUAGCUAACUAAGCUGGGCUGACCAGUCAAAACACCUACGGGUGCCACGUGCGCACGCGAAGGCCAGGAUGCUCGGUGCCUUGCAGAUUCAGUCUGAGUCGUUUGUUGUCUCUGAAAGCACGACAGGGGUUAGUGAGUCGUUAUCUUCUCAGUUGUACCAGCAACUGUUCUGUCCUUGCUUGAGUGAGGAAUGAUCUGCCUUUGCAUUAGCUUCAGGACCAAACAGACUUGACUUUGAGCCUUGGCUUUUCCCAUUAGUCGCUGUGAACUUGGGCAAGUGGUUAUUAACAGUGCCUAUCUCAUUACGUUUUUCUAAGGCUUAAAUGAGAUGAUGCAUGUGACACACUUAGCAACGUGCCUGGUGCAUAGUAACUGUUCAAUGUUACCCAAACCCACUGCCAGUGAGUUGAUUCUGACUCCUGGCGACCCUAUAGGACAGAGUAGAAGUGCCCCAUAGGUUUUCAACGGCUGUCAAUCUGCAGAAGCAGGCUGCCACAAAGCGGCUGGUGGGUUCAAACUGCUGACCCUUUGGUUGGCAGCUGAGUACUUAACCACUGUACCAUCCUAGGUCCUUGAGUGGUACAGACAAUUUUGUGCUUGACUACUAACUUAAAGGUUGGUGGUUCGAAUCCACCCAACAGCACCAAGGAAAAGGCCUGGCGAUCUGCUUCUUGAAAGAUUACAGCCAAGAAGACCCUAUGGAGUUCUACUCUACAACACAUAAGGUCACCGAGAGUUGGAAUCGACUUGAUGGGUCAAAGCCCAGACUGAGUGAUGAGGAAACUGGACAGAGCUGGUGCUCUCCUCUCUUCUCUCAUCCCUGCUUCCUUUGGUAGUUUUGCCUUCUCCACUUCUCUGUAUUUUAAAGGCAAAGCAAGCUGUCCCAGGCACCUCAUACUUGUCAGAAAUCCCACCAGGAGCAAAUGGUCCUUCACAGCCACUGUCCUUAACUCUAGCACCACCUCAUGGUCACCAGAAAAAAUGCAUCCUGGCCACCUCCAAAGGACCAAGGUUAUAGUGGAGGGAUCAGACCAACUCCCAUCAGAGUCCUUGCCAAAUACCAGGCUCUGUACUGUGCACUUCACGUGCAUCACUGCAUUUAAUCCUUACUGCAGUUCUUAGUAGGCAGUAUUACAUGUAAGGAAAUUGCAACUCAUAGGUUGAUUUGCCAAGGUCUCAAAAGAUUUUAUAACCUAGUUAGAUUUCAAAUCUCCCACUCACCACUGUGGACCCCUGAUGGUGCAGUGGUUAAAAGCUUGACUGCUAAUCAAAAGGCCACAGUUCAAACCCACCAGCCGCUCCUUAGAAAUCCUAUGGGGUGGUUCUACUCUGUCCUAUAGGGUUACCAUGAUUUGGAAUCGACUCGACUACAAUAUAUUUCUUUUUUUUUUUUUGGCUCACCACUAUACUACCCUGAUAGCUUUUCAGCUGGAAACUGAGGGAUAGGAAGAGACUUAGCUUAAGCUACAAGUCCAGGUAAUGAAUGGCAGAGCUGGAACCAGAGCUGUUAAAACUGUUUGUCCUGGCCCUUAACUGAGCCCCAGGAUGACAGUGCCAGUCAGUUUCAGGAAAGGACUCCUGGAGAUCACUAUACCUGAAACCGAGUUCAUGAGUUGAUUUUCAAAGGAAAACCUUGGGCGAGGUACCUCUAAGUUCCUCUGCUGUUCAGCCAUGUCCUCAGCAACUUUGCACCCAGUGCUGUCAGACCAACAAGCAACUGAGUCCUGCUUCACACUGAGUUUAAUGUGACACUUAGACACUCCUCUGCUGGCCAGUUCCUAUGUCCCUGGAGGCGAAGUCUCCAUCAGGGUGGGGACUUGGCAGGUGGGAGUGCCAGCUGGCACUCACUCAAACUGGCAACAAGAGAGAAGCUGGCAUGAGUCUUAAAUUUCACCUUGGCGCUCAGCCCUGAAUCCACUGUGCCUGUCUGGGAGCAUCAUGGCAUGGGAACCAGAGCCAGAGAACAAAAGAUGGCAAGCGCUGCAGGCCCAGACUGGCAACCACCACAGCCCACACAUCCGGCACCACUGUUCUACCUUCCAACAACUUUUGACUUCAGGAACAGCACCUAGCAUUGCAUUAGAAGGAAAAAAACCCCUACCUCUGCCACGCACAGGCACGUCCCAGAGAGUGAUUGGGUUUCAUCAGGGCUAUCAUCUAGAGCAAAGGAGAAAAGGUACGAAAAUAUGCUGAAAAAGCAGUGAUGGGAUUGCCGUUAUUGGCCAAUUUCA